rnacentral:rRNA from 1 species
GACGAACGCUGGCGGCGUGCUUAACACAUGCAAGUCGAACGGAAAGGCCCUGCUUUUGUGGGGUGCUCGAGUGGCGAACGGGUGAGUAACACGUGAGUAACCUGCCCUUGACUUUGGGAUAACUUCAGGAAACUGGGGCUAAUACCGGAUAGGAGCUCCUGCUGCAUGGUGGGGGUUGGAAAGUUUCGGCGGUUGGGGAUGGACUCGCGGCUUAUCAGCUUGUUGGUGGGGUAGUGGCUUACCAAGGCUUUGACGGGUAGCCGGCCUGAGAGGGUGACCGGCCACAUGGGGACUGGGAUACGGCCCAGACCCCUACGGGAGGCAGCAGUGGGGAAUAUUGCACAAGGGGCGGAAGCCGGAUGCAGCAACGCCGGGGGCGGGAUGACGGCCUUGGGGUUGUAAACCGCUUUCCCCUGUGACGAAGCGUGGGUGACGGUAAUGGGUAAAGAAGCACCGGCUAACUACGU